UACGGAGGGUGCAAGCGUUGUCCGGAAUCAUUGGGUGUAAAGGGUGCGUAGGCGGACAUCUAAGUCCGGGGUGAAAUCUUGCCGCUUAACGGUAAAAUGGCCCUGGAUACUGGGUGUCUUGAAUCCAGAAGAGGUCGGUGGAAUUCGUGGUGUAGCGGUGAAAUGCAUAGAUAUCACGAAGAACAUCAGUGGCGAAGGCAGCCAUCUGGCCUAGUACUGACGCUGAGGCACGAAAGCGUGGGGAGCGAACAGG
rnacentral:misc_RNA from 1 species